rnacentral:rRNA from 2 species
ACGGGAGGCAGCAGUAGGGAAUCUUCGGCAAUGGACGAAAGUCUGACCGAGCAACGCCGCGUGAGUGAAGAAGGUUUUCGGAUCGUAAAACUCUGUUGGUAGAGAAGAACGUUGGUGAGAGUGGAAAGCUCAUCAAGUGACGGUAACUACCCAGAAAGGGACGGCUAACUACGUGCCAGCAGCCGCGGUAAUACGUAGGUCCCGAGCGUUGUCCGGAUUUAUUGGGCGUAAAGCGAGCGCAGGUGGUUUAUUAAGUCUGGUGUAAAAGGCAGUGGCUCAACCAUUGUAUGCAUUGGAAACUGGUAGACUUGAGUGCAGGAGAGGAGAGUGGAAUUCCAUGUGUAGCGGUGAAAUGCGUAGAUAUAUGGAGGAACACCGGUGGCGAAAGCGGCUCUCUGGCCUGUAACUGACACUGAGGCUCGAAAGCGUGGGGAGCAAACAGGAUUAGAUACCCUGGUA